rnacentral:lncRNA from 1 species
UUGCGCUUCUCUCCAUCCCGAAAUCCCUCCUAAUAAAACACAGAUUUCGCCCUCUCGUCCUCUCAUUACUUUAGGCUAUUGGGAAGGAGAUGUGCGCGACUGGGCAGGGAGACGACGUCGAGCCUCCACUUGGGUUCGAGUAGGGUACGCAUAUCCGAAUUUAGAUUUUGGUAUGCUUUUUCUUCUUUUACUUUUCGUUGCUUGUGCGUGUGGGAGUUGCCUUCGUUCUGAGAAUGAUGGAUCGUCAUUGGCCUUUUCUGGUUGUGGCAUUUCGAUGCGCCAUUGGAGCCAUUGAUGCCAGGGUUCGCCCGACGGCGAUUUCUAUUACCAGAUAAAUAUCGAAUCGCGUUCUUAGGGGUUAAAUCUAGGGUUUCAAUGGCUUCAGAUUCCAGUUACACGUUUCCUUCCUUUACAAAGGGGUUGGUCUUGUCGAUUACAUAGUAAUCGCAUCUAAAUUGAAGUGAACUGAAAGGAAAGUUUUUUGUUUUUCUGACAUUAGGCUCUUCGUCCAUGUCCAUCUUGGAUCCAGCCUUCAUGGCAUGCUCUUAUAACCCUUCUACCUCUGCUGCAACCUGCUUUAUUACUGACUUCGGUUCAUGCAUCACCAUGUCACUUGUCGUUUUCAUUUGGAAUGAAAAUGAGUUGAUUGUCGCAUUUAAUAAUUGAGUAAUGCAGUCACAUCCUGAGCGGAAAAGAUACCACAACACAAGAACAAGAUGCUGUUGGACUAAUAGACCUUCAUGGAUUUGCACUCGAAAUUACAGCAAUAAAUAGUUUCAUCACAGACCAAUACACCAAAAGAGCCCCCUAACUACUUGGUGGUUAUGGGUAUGGAACACAAGUAAAUCCAGGUGUACUUAGAGGUCACUGGCUUGUGUCACAUGAUAUGGGCCACCAAAAGAGCUCACUGGCUUGUGUCACAUAAUAUGGGCCUUUGCUGAAUGCCUGACACUAGCAUUCCAUGGUAACCGGUAUCUUUUUCUUUCCAAUAUAAAUUACUGUAAGAAACGAUUACACAAUUAUAACCAUUGCCUCUGGCAUCAGAGGCAAUCAAAACAGAGAAAUCUAGGGACCAAGCAUCUUUCCAAAAUUCUUCCACCCUAUUGGUCCUAGCAAAUAUAUAUAUAUAUAUAUAUAUAUAUAUCAUCAUCAAGAGUAAUUUUCUCAGCGAGUAUAGACUCAAAGAGUUACGGACAGAAAAUUAAAGAUAUUCCCGCAUUGGUCAUUAGAAGGGGGAGGUGGUGAGCAGAUCUCCUCGUCAGCCUCCACCUCCUGAUAGAAUUACUUUUGCACCUUUUGUUUUCGAGUAAUGAUUACGAAUGCUGCUGAGUUUUUCAUUUAACAAAGUUGAAUUUAUUAUGGCUUUGUGUGGCUGCUCUCAGGUUCUUCUGGCUCUACCGCAGUCUUUAUUGUGAAGCAUCAGUUUUGGGCAAGGGUUGCAGCCCUUCUCUCGUUCCUUGGGUUAUAUUAGAUUGCAUGAGUGUCCUAAGCCAUGUUAACAUUAGUAAAGUUUCUGGGUGACCAAGUGUGAAAAGCCACACUUUGUAAAUUUAUUAAGAAAAUCCAUGUUAAGAAAAUCUAUGUACUAUAAACCAUGUUAAGAAAAUAUAUUAAGAAAUUUCAAGCACUAAACCGUAUUAAGAAAAUCCUACACAACACUUUUUGGUUUGAAGUGCUUUAGUUAUCAUGCAAUUUUGAGUCACAGCGGUACGUUCUUUACUGGCAGGCGCGUGGAAGUGACUCCUUCGAACACAACUCCCAUUGGCCAAUGACGUUUGAAGUACAUCAUUGUUUCGAGAUGGAGUUGUUCUAAGAUUCAACCACGAGCAUGAGAAGAAGCAACGGAUGAUGGGACGCUAAGAUGAAUUGGAGCAGCUGGGAAUACCAUCAAACCUCACGGUAAUUUGUGCACGCUGUUUCAUAUAUGAACCAAUUUUAUUGGAUAUUUUUACAUCUCACUGGGUCUCCGAACAAGCAAGAACAAUCUACCCUCGUUAUUGCCACUUACACAAGAAAAUAAACCAAUCAAUAACGAGAUUUUUUUUUUCUGAUUUACUAACGUGAUACUAAAUCCUGUACCAACUCCGCCACAGCUGACUCGAACAGGGCAUUUUCCAGUUGCAUCCCCAGUUCCUCCUCUACCUCGUCGAAGCAUCUCCACCGUCCGUUCCCCUCCAUCUCCCUCAGCGUCGCCUCCCCGUGGACGUCGUCCAGGUCUCUGCAUCUCCUGCCGUCGAUCCAAUCUCUAGCGG